UCCCGGCCUCGGCCUCCGCCGCAGCAGCUACAGGGUAUUCGCCCGGGCCCAACCCCUCCGUCCCGCCCUCAACCCCAGCCCCACGCACGGGCCAAACUUUCCCUUCUCCCUCCACCUGCCGACACGCAGCGCGCUGACGUCACCGCGCCGGGCAGGCCCAGCCGUGGCCCCGCCUCCGGCCGCCAUCUCAAGUGUGGCUGCGCAGGCACCCGAGCUAGCAAGAAUCCCGUGAAGUUCUGGAGUCUGGGAAGUCUAAGAUCAAGAUGCUGGCUGAUCUGUUGUCUGGGCAGGCAUAUAGUGUACGUACAGUCGGCUCUUCAGUCAAGCUAGAUAGACCCUGACCACUAGCAGUGCAGCAGGAAAUGGAGGCCUUUGUGACAGGAGCAGCAGUGAUCCAAGGCAAAGCAUGGGUGCCACAUUCCACAGCAAAAUGGACAGGACCCACAGUAGAGUGAAGAGGAGACCAGGAGCAGAUUGGGACUGUGGUUGGAUAAACUCUGCAGGGGGCUUGCAACAAACCCAUUUUCUAAAUUAGGACCUCCUGGUUGCUAGUGCCAGAAAACCCAAACUGCAUUAGGCUGCUUGCAUUCCUGCCAUAA